CAAUAUUGUCUUAUCUCAGAAAUUAAACAAAGUCGCCACUGGUUACUACUUAGAUGGGAGCCUGACUGGGAAUAACAGGGGCAGUAUUAU
rnacentral:rRNA from 1 species